rnacentral:lncRNA from 1 species
AGCUGUUGGAGGAGGACUUGGUGGUGCUAAGGAAUGGAGUACUGCAAGGACGGACGCCGCUUCCGUUGAACUCAGGUGAGCUUGCGAGUCCGCGACGGCCUUGGUGAUUUUACUAUUACUGCUACUCUAUUAGUCAUGGAAUUCGGGAGAGCUUGGGUUCGAAUUUUAUUUUCUGGGAUUUUUAUCGGGGUGUAUGCAACUGUAUAACUGUAAAUUGGCUUGCCCCUGGGUGUUCUUGGUUGGUGAUUCGGCAAUGAUUUGAAGCGGUCUGGCUUAUGAGCCGGUGGUUAGGUGGAGUCUGGUUAUUAUAGUUUCGGUACAGGAGGGGGAAAGGUGGCACAAAUCUGGGGGCAGGGCAUGUUUCUGCCUGAUUGAUCCAAUCAUUUUUUUCUUCUGGUAUCAAUCAAUCAUGCCAGCAUCUGAAACGGACUAUCAAAUCUGAAUUAGCACUGUUUUUUAUAUAUAAUGAUACCAUACAGCUCGAGAUGAACAUAUGCUUGACUGAAUAGCUGUUCAUACAUCUGGAGGUGUUACUAUGAGUACAAUUACCAUUCAGAAAGAAAAGAACUAUGAGUAAAAUGCAGAGAACGCACUUCCAGACUAUCAAUCAUGCAUGCCCAUAUCAUUUGCUUUUCUUAAUGUUUCUCAGUUUAACUUACUAGUCUCUUGUCUAUGUAUUUUUUGCUGCCAGAAGGGACCCAAAUAGGUUGCAACUGGGAGUAAAAUAUGUGUCUAAACUGAUCGUCUGGUGCGAAAAUUGACGACCAAGAUCCAGUUAUGUGUAUUGCAGGACAACACCUUUCAUUAGAUACACUUUGAUGCUAUUUCUAGCAUGAAUUUCUAUUUCAGACUUAAAACUAAAAUUCUGAACAAGUAAAAUCGCUCUUGUUCCUUAUUUUUUUAGGGCGGUUCCUCUCGUUUUACUGGUUCGUCCGCUCCUUCAUGAUUGAUGUACUGGUUCUAGCCCCUCCUUCGUGAUAGACUCGGUUAACUCUUUGUUAGCCUUGUGGGUCAUAAUUCUUUCUCUCCAGACGCAUAUACUGCCUGAUGUAUUGCUCAUGCUCAUUCUGUACCGAGAUAGUCCUAAUAUCCAUAGGGUUGUAGAUUGAUUUCCCCUGAAAAAGCUAUGCUUCUUUCCUUGGAUGAUAAGCAUGUUCGGUAGCUAUGUGGAAUUCUUAAGAUAAACGGUCUUUACUUUCUUUUGGUGCAUCUGCGUGCACAUAAUAGUCUGUUAGUUUCUCUUUAUAUAAUGAAAAAAAUAUGUUGUUGUAGCUUGUUUAUUAUUAUCUAUCAUUUGUAGAUUGAUUUUUAGGCCACCGGUACUUGUAUGUAUAAUUUCUAGUCUCUUGAAUGAAUAAUUUUUCUUUAUGUGUCAUGCGUCUUGUGUUACUACAUACAUCUGUCGUGAAGUACAUGGUUCCGGAACUAUGGUAACCCAUAGUUUGCUCUACUCGUGAUAGUAGGAUGAUGGAAGCAUCACUAUUGAAUGUAGUUCAUGUUUCUUCAUAUAAUCAUCAUUUACUAGAGUUUCUCUUCUUCUUGCUACUGCUUGGUUUUUGACGCCACUAGCUUGUACUAGAACGCAAACACAUCAUAUUGUUUUCAUCAGACUAGUGUACCUUGAGCAUGCAAAGUAAACACAUGCUACUCCACUUGUCUAUUUGUACAUAAACUUUUGUUUAAAUAAACCGAGCUAAUAAACCAAACGGUGCGAACACAUUCAGUUCUGAAAUUUGUCUACUCCACUUGUUUGAUUGUACUGAAACCUUUGUUUGCAUGUUUCUAAAAUACAGAGAAGAACACCCUGUGUUCUGGUAAAAUUUCCUAUGAUAUGAAAUUCCAUGAUGUGUGUGUUGUUUCAGUUUCUGUAGCUACAACAAAGUCCCAGUUUACUCUGUACUUGCUUUUGAUGAUUGCUGGCUAAAUUUACAGUUGAAAUAAUAGUAGCCAAGGAGUAGAUACAAGACGUAUUUACCAUAUUUUGCAUGGAAUGUUAAAAAUCAGUUUUGUUGUGGUUUCUUGUUCUGUGAGUCAAAUUGCAUAAGAUGGGAGUAUCACAACAUGCAUAUACUGAAGAUGGGAGUAUCACAACCUGAAUGUGCAGCUUAUGUAGUUUCUGUAUUUUUGUUAAAGCAUGGAGUAGCUUCUAUAGUUUCUGUAUUUUUGUUAAAGCAUGGAGUAGCUUCUAUAGCUUCCUCACAAGUUAAUGCUUCGCUCGUCCGGGUGUGUGAUAAUGCCAUUUGUCUUGUGCAAUCAGAUUACAUUUCUGUUUGUUAUGGUAAUAUAAAUAUUCAUCCUGUCAAAAUUUUCACAGUGCGUGUCUUUCAUUUCUUUAAUUUGAUUGUUUCCCUUGUAUUCAAUAUGCUUCUAGUGGCUGAUCCUUCCAUUUUUGUUGUGGCAUCUUUAUUUUCACAGGUGUUGUGUGUUCUGGAAGAUGGAAGAGGAAGAAAUUGUUGAACUAAAUUUUCUGUAUUCUGUUUUGUUGUACGUAUCAUUUGAUAGUUUUGUAUAGGAACAAGUGAUACUAUUUUGUAGGGCUUUAUGGCCUGUGAUGUAAACAUAUUUAGUGCUGAAAUAUGAAAUUAUUUGCAAAAUUUGUCAAAAAGGUGGAUCAUAUGUAUGAAUAUGUGAAUGGGCUGAAAAGAGUACUGGACCAACUCCAGGAUUG